GGGGAUGUCAUCAACAUCUUGUAAAAUCAUGACUUCAAAAAGGUGACAAACACAGUUUUAUAAGUCGAUUUUAUGAGACAGCACAACGCAGAAAGAAGAUAUGAAUACAUCUUUGGGCACACU